rnacentral:lncRNA from 1 species
UUUCCUAGUAGAUAAGGAUGUGGCUAUUUUUAACUGUGUAUUAUCAGAGAAGGUUCCUUGUUUGAUACUUUGAGUGAAUAUGUGCCGAGUACUUGUUGAAAUGAGUUAUCAUGCAUGCACUUGAAAAAAGAAAGCUACUAUUUGAAUUCUGAAAACAGAGUUUGGAAAAGGUCUAUUGGAGUGUUCUGUUAUUUUGUUACAAUUCUGGUUUCUGUUAUUUAUG